rnacentral:rRNA from 1 species
CGCGGGGGAAUAAUGAGUAGGAUGAAGCUGGCGGCAGGCCUAACACAUGCAUGUCCGAGCGGAUGAAGGUAGCUUGCUACCGGAUUCAGCGGCGGACGGGUGAGUAAUGCCUAGGAAUCUGCCCGGUAAUGGGGGAUAACGUUUCGAAAGGAACGCUAAUACCGCAUACGUCCUACGGGAGAAAGCAGGGGACCUUCGGGCCUUGCGUUAUCGGAUGAGCCUAGGUCGGAUUAGCUAGUUGGUGAGGUAAUGGCUCACCAAGGCGACGAUCCGUAACUGGUCUGAGAGGAUGAUCAGUCACACUGGAACUGAGACACGGUCCAGACUCCUACGGGAGGCAGCAGUGGGGAAUAUUGGACAAUGGGCGAAAGCCUGAUCCAGCCAUGCGGAGGGUGUGAAGAAGGUCUUCGGAUUGUAAAGCACUUUAAGUUGGGAGGAAGGGCAGUCAGUUAAUACCUUGCUGUCUUGACUUACCAACAAAAUAAGCACCGGCUAACUUCAUGCAACAGCCCGCGGUAAA